AUACCUUUCUCGGCCUUUUGGCUAAGAUCAAGUGUAGUAUCUGUUCUUAUCAGUUUAAUAUCUGAUAUGUGGACCAUCGGUUCACACGAUAUUAACUCUAUUUUUUAAGGGGAAGAGUCCAUUAAGGUAGCUUGCUAUCUGGAUUCUUGCGAGUCGCCCAUGCGUUGCACUAUAGCAUAGGCCUGGCUCACCUCAU
rnacentral:snRNA from 1 species